rnacentral:rRNA from 1 species
CAGCCGCCACGGUAAUCCGGAGGGCGCGAGCGUUACCCGGAUUUACUGGGCGUAAAGGGCGUGUAGGCGGCCUGGGGCGUCCCAUGUGAAAGGCCACGGCUCAACCGUGGAGGAGCGUGGGAUACGCUCAGGCUAGAGGGUGGGAGAGGGUGGUGGAAUUCCCGGAGUAGCGGUGAAAUGCGCAGAUACCGGGAGGAACGCCGAUGGCGAAGGCAGCCACCUGGUCCACUUCUGACGCUGAGGCGCGAAAGCGUGGGGAGCAAACCGGAUUAGAUACCCGCGUAGUCCAUGUCUCUUAUAC